rnacentral:rRNA from 1 species
AUUGAACGCUGGCGGCGUGCUUAACACAUGCAAGUCGAGCGGUAACGCGGGGGCAACCCUGGCGACGAGCGGCGAACGGUUGCGUAAUGCAUGGGAAUCUGCCUAGUAGUGGGGAAUAACCUGGGGAAACUCAGGCUAAUGCCGCAUACGACCGACGGGUGAAAGCGGGGGAUCGCAAGACCUCGCGCUAUUAUAUGAGCCGGUGUCGGAUUAGCUAGUUGGGAGGGUAACGGCUUACCAAGGGGACGAUCCGUAGCUGGUCUGAGAGGACGGCCAGCCACACUGGGACUGAGACACGGCCCAGACUCCUACGGGAGGCAGCAGUGGGGAAUAUUGGACAAUGGGGGAAACCCUGAUCCAGCGACGCCGCGUGUGUGAAGAAGGCCUGCGGGUUGUAAAGCACUUUCGAUGGGAACGAAAUGUGCCGACCUAAUACGUCGGCAAGCUGACGUUACUCAAUGAAGAAGCACCGGCUAACUCUGUGCCAGCCGCCGCGGUAA